rnacentral:lncRNA from 1 species
UGUCUGUGUUACUUUAUAUUUAAAAACAAUUGUCCCUUAAUUCAUGGGUACACCUUGCAGUUGUAAAUUGUUUUUUCUCUAGUACACAUCCUAAUGAUGGUAGCAUCUGUAUUUCUCACAUAUAAAGAAAAUGUACUAAAAUUCGUCUAACUCCAUUACUAGAGCAUAAUAGAGGUAACUUCAGGUUCCUCCUUUUCUCUGAGCUCUUUAUCCUGGGCGUGGCUGGCUCCUGCCUCGUCUGCUCUUUGCAUCUCUGUAUAUAGAGUUACACAGGCCUGGAAUGUGGUCCUGCUCACUAACAGGCAGGUGUUCACUGUGUACCUGCACCGCCUGUCUGCAGAGUAUUACGUAAUCGGCGUCUGACCAGGAGCUGAUUUGAGUCACUCAGUCUGGUUCAGGGACACUGGGAAACAUGCACCAGUUCUUCAGCCCAUCCAGAUAUACCCCGAAACAAGUAUUCUUUUUGUUCUACCUACAGCCAGCAAGCUUUUCUGUAAACGGCCAGGUAGUGUUUUAAGGUCUGCAAGUCAUGUAGCUCUCUUAAUACUCCUUUCUGCUGUUACAGCUAUAAAUAAUAUGCAAAUGUACGAGUGGAGCUGUGAUGCAAUAAACCUUUACUAAAAGACAGACGGACGGAGGCCUGCAUUUGUCCCUUACCUCACAGCUGCUGGCCCCAGGCCCUAAUUCAAUUUAAGACCUCUAACCUUUAACCUGCAUCUUUCCUCUUUUUAUUUGCAUAAUUCACUUUAAAGCAGAAAUGUGUGUGUACACUCGUGUGUAUUCCUGUGUCUGUAUCACCUAAAGCUGUAUAUUUUGCUGUCUUGGAGGUGGAUAUAUUUUUCAGGGUCUCCAGGUUUUAGGAUAUGAUUGUCACGAAAGAGGCAAAACGGGAGGGUAGGCUUUUGGCACCUGUGUCCGUCUUGCUGUUCAGUGUCAUAAUUCCAGACUGCUCAUGAAAAAACAAUCUGUAUGGCAUCAGAAUACUGGUUUCUAACCUUACCUGCUGACUGACCUUGGGGUGUACGGAUGUAUGCGCUCUUCUCUUAGAGCUUUCAGAUGAGAACAGGGCAGAAUUCUGGAUUUUGGUGCUGCAGAAAACAAUCUUUUGGAAAACCGUGGGCAACACAAAAUGGGUUAUGUGCCCAAUUCAGCCCUUGGUACAGCCACUGCUAGUGUGUAGGGUGCUCACCGCUGUCACCCCUGGAGCAGCUUCAGUCUGAGUGGAGGUAUGUUUCCAGAGGCGGGCCCCCUUGCUUCAUCUCAUGAUGCCCCGCAAUGCUUUCCCAAGUAUGUCAGUGUGCAUCGCCUUGCCAUCAGAGCAUCCCUCAGCCUCAGCUUUAGACUUGCGCUGUUGGACAGCCAAUCGGCAGCCGCAGGCCUCACGAAAGGUAAAAGUACGAGGUGUCAUCUUACCAGCAUCGGUGUGAUGGCGGGCCAGUCCUGAGGGGCAGUAAACGUCCCAUGUUCAUCCAGUACUUUAGGAGAUAAAACCUGGAUUCGGAAUGGCAGUGGAGAGAGUUCGUCUCUGCCUUUGUCGUGGCAUUGAUGAACCGCCUUUCCAGGCACUGCCUAUCAGAGGUCAUUUCCGCUCUGUGUGCCCGUGAGCUCGGUACUCCAGAAACACUCAGAGCAUAGUGCAGAGUCACGGUAACUUGUAUGCCACAGAAUCCUGCAUAUUGCACACUAGAAAACCAUGGAAAGCAGAGCUCCUUAUUGACAGACACUUACAAGUUCAUUUUUGCUGGGUUAACUAAAUACAGUAUCCCUAAUUAUAAUUGUUGGUUUAGAAGUUGAAAUGCCGUUCUUUAUUCUCACUGGCCUCAAAUUCACUGAUAAUUUUCUCUAAACUAAUAAGUGGGUGAGUAUAACCUGUGUUGUUACCCACUGGCUGCUCCUAAACUGGUUUCCAGUCAUGUCCUCCAUAAUGUGAUUUUUUUAUAAAUUGAGAGUAAUAUUGUAUAUUGAAGAUCAAAUAAAGAUGUUCUUUAAGUG